UACGUAGGGGGCAAGCGUUGUCCGGAUUUAUUGGGCGUAAAGAGCUCGUAGGCGGCUCGUCGCGUCGACCGUGAAAACCCGCAGCUUAACUGCGGGCUUGCGGUUGAUACGGGCGGGCUAGAGUUCGGUAGGGGAGACUGGAAUUCCUGGUGUAGCGGUGAAAUGCGCAGAUAUCAGGAAGAACACCUAUGGCGAAGGCAGCACUCUGGGACGGUACUGACGCUGAGACGCGAAAGCGUGGGGAGCAAACAGG
rnacentral:rRNA from 1 species